rnacentral:sRNA from 1 species
UUAUCAGCACUAGAGACUGAAUCUCCUUGUUUAUCUACAGAACAGAUAUAGCACAGAUAGAAGCAUUGCCAUUCUCCUCCACACAGCUUGUCAAUGGGUUUCAACAGUGUCCUGGACAAAAGGAUAGUUCAGUCUUCAUGCCAGUACACUCCUUGGGCUCU